rnacentral:rRNA from 1 species
GAAGGGUGAAAGGGUUGCAAUAAACUGGUGGCUGCGACUGUUUAAUAAAAACACAGCACUCUGCAAACACGAAAGUGGACGUAUAGGGUGUGACGCCUGCCCGGUGCUGGAAGAUUAAAUGAUGGGGUGCAAGCUCUUGAUUGAAGUCCCAGUAAACGGCGGCCGUAACUAUAACGGUCCUAAGGUAGCGAAAUUCCUUGUCGGGUAAGUUCCGACCUGCACGAAUGGCGUAACGAUGGCCACACUGUCUCCUCCCGAGACUCAGCGAAGUUGAAAUGUUUGUGAUGAUGCAAUCUACCCGCGGCUAGACGGAAAGACCCCAUGAACCUUUACUGUAGCUUUGCAUUGGACUUUGAACCAAUCUGUGUAGGAUAGGUGGGAGGCUUUGAAGCGGGGACGCCAGUUCUCGUGGAGCCAUCCUUGAAAUACCACCCUGGUUUGUUUGAGGUUCUAACCUUGGUCCGUUAUCCGGAUCGGGGACAGUGCAUGGUAGGCAGUUUGACUGGGGCGGUCUCCUCCUAAAGUGUAACGGAGGAGUUCGAAGGUACGCUAGGUACGGUCGGACAUCGUGCUAAUAGUGCAAUGGCAUAAGCGUGCUUAACUGCGAGACCGACAAGUCGAGCAGGUACGAAAGUAGGACAUAGUGAUCCGGUGGUUCUGUAUGGAAGGGCCAUCGCUCAACGGAUAAAAGGUACUCUGGGGAUAACAGGCUGAUUCCUCCCAAGAGUUCAUAUCGACGGGGGAGUUUGGCACCUCGAUGUCGGCUCAUCACAUCCUGGGGCUGUAGCCGGUCCCAAGGGUAUGGCUGUUCGCCAUUUAAAGUGGUACGUGAGCUGGGUUUAAAACGUCGUGAGACAGUUUGGUCCCUAUCUGCCGUGGGCGUUGGAAAUUUGAAGGGGGCUGCUCCUAGUACGAGAGGACCGGAGUGGACGAACCUCUGGUGUACCGGUUGUCACGCCAGUGGCAUUGCCGGGUAGCUAAGUUCGGAAGAGAUAACCGCUGAAAGCAUCUAAGCGGGAAACUUGCCUUGAGAUGAGAUUUCCCGGAGCCUUGAGCUCCUUGAAGGGUCGUUCGAGACCAGGACGUUGAUAGGCUGGGUGUGGAAGUGCAGUAAUGCAUUAAGCUAACCAGUACUAAUUGCCCGUACGGCUUGUCCCU